rnacentral:tRNA from 1 species
GGAGCAGUGGCCGAGUGGUUUAAGGCAGCGGUUUUGAAAACCGCCGUACGUUUAUCGCGUACCGGGGGUUCGAAUCCCUCCUGCUCCG